rnacentral:rRNA from 1 species
UACGGAGGGUGCAAGCAUUAAUCGGAUUUAUUGGGCGUAAAGGGCGCGUAGGCGGGGAUAAUAGUCAGAUGUGAAAUCCUGGGGCUCAACCUCAGAACUGCAUUUGAAACUGUAUCUCUAGAGGAUAGGCGGAGAAAACGGAAUUCCACAAGUAGCGGUGAAAUGCGUAGAUAUGUGGAAGAACACCGGUGGUGAAGGCGGUUUUCUAGCUUAUUCCUGACGCUGAGGCGCGAAAGCAAGGGGGAUCAAACAGG